GGGCGAAGCAGCAUACAUAAUUUCAAACACAGCUGCUCAGGCCUUACGCUCAACAUUCCUACUUCAGUACAACAGCACAAUUAACGGUGGCGAUCUUGGUCGUUAAAGCUAAAUGCAGACGUACCGGUCUCCCUAGCUUCCUGAACAGGGCGUACCUUUUGUGCGCCAGGCUGCAGGGUAUGGAGACGAUUUAUCUUCGAUCUUCAUAUAGGGAGUCAGUGGGGAAGAGAAACUGCUGUCGUAUGGUAAAAGAUUCAACGAUCUGUAACUUGCUGAAGAAAUCUGCAAGAUUUAGACAUGACUCAGUGUGCAAACAAUUUGAUUUGGUCCAUGUUUUUCAGUACAUAAGGAUAUAGGAACUCAUAAUUUUGUGAUAGGUUUAGGGGAGAUAA